GGGAAGUUUGGUGGAGGGUAAGGGUUCCUUCCUGGAUCCCUCGUUCUCUCCCACGAUGGAAAUUCCUGGGAGGAUCUUAAUGGGGACACAAUUUCUUCUCACCCUCCCCUUCGACUUCUCCAUUUCUUCACAUUCUGCUUAAUGGAGGGGGCGGGGGGAGCGAUCUGGUUAAUCCUAGAUUCUCUCAAAUUUUCUCCCUUAAAGGCUACCUUCAGACUCCCAAAGUUCCCUUCUCUGCCAAUUUAUGAAGGGUUCCUGCGGGGUGAACCCUUUCCCCAGCACAGACGGGGGCGAUGGGCCUGGAGGGCCCCAUCCCUCUCACCGCCCCCCAACCGCCCCAGGAAGAGAGAGACAGAGCAUGAACGGGGGAGGGGCAGAGAGAGAGGAAGACACAGAAUCCGAAGCAGAUCCAGGCUCUGAACUGUCAGCACGGAGCCUGACGCGGGGCUCAAACUCACAGACCACGAGAUCAUGACCUGAGCCGAAGUCGGACGCUCAACCGACUGAGCCACCCGGGCGCCCCACUUAUUAUUAUUUUUUUGAGAGAGACAGAAGAGUGUGUGCAAGUGGGGGAGGGGAAGAGGGGAGAGAGAGAGAGAGAGGGAGAGAGAGAGGAUCCCAAGCACGCUCUGUGCUAUCCACAUAGAGCUCGAUACAGGGCUGGAUCCCAUGAACUGCAAGAUCAUGACCUGAGCUGAGAUCAAAAGUCCGACGCUUAACCAACUGAGCCACCCAAGCACCCUGAACUGUGUGAUCACUUAAGGGUCCAUUCAGCCCGAAAAUACUUCAAAAACAUUGGAUUUGGGGUGGUUUGAUUUUUGUUUUUUGUUUUCAGAUGGUGAGUGGAAUUUCCCCUCUCAUGAGACUUUCUGCGAGAGGGAAGUAGGAGAAGGGGAAAUAAACAUUCUGGGGUUCCUCCA